GCAAGCAUGAAGGAGUUCAUACGCGCUGACUCGAAUAAAACCGCCGUUGUUUUAAGAUUUGUGUUGGAAAACUAUAAUGCAUUAUCUUGGUUGACAAAGGACCCAGUAACCAAAGAUCGGCGUUCGUGUCUCCCCGUACAUUGUUUAUCACUCAUGCAACUUUAUCAUACAGUGCGGAAUUUAUUAGGUUGACUACAUUUGUUUGCACACUGGCAACCUUUACUGUUUGAACGCUCAUGUUGCCUUUCAUUCAAUUUACUGCAGUCUUAUAAACCAGAGUUUACAAGUUUUGACAACUUUUUGAUACAAUUUGUUCCGUUAGUUUCAUGCAUACUGCUGGAGCAAAAAUAAGUUACAAAAAUAUUUCUAUCAAUUUUGUAUGAUCUUCGCAAGCCUCAUAGAAUUAAUUUUUAUAUCUUUCAUUUUCUCUUCUUUUCAAUGCAAUAUGCGCAGUUUGUUGCGCUUUGGAUGAAAUACAUUGGGCAGCACUUGAUAAUGAGAGUACAACACCAGCUGCUUUGAGAGUGUGCAAUACUUCAAUGAUGCUGGUAGUAUAACUUGGAUCCUAACCCCACAAACCCCCAUUCCCCCCUGUGAUACAAGUCACUGCCCUUCUCGCCAAAGCUCUUGUUGCUUUGUUAAAAAUUCUUUUUUUCUUAUCAGCGCCCAUGAAAUAGUUCGGCCGGCAUUUUGUCGUUCAUCCGUUUUUCUUGAUUUUUUUGAACAUUGAAAGCAGACACAUCAUUGCAAAUUGCUCCUUUACCUUUAAAGGUGUGUUAUAACUGUAGUACAUUCGAUGCGUUGCUUUCUUUGCGCUUGUUUUUCCUUGGUGGCUCAAAUAUCAUAGCCUUUUGUAUAUAAUUAUGUCUCUACUUGCGUAAAUAAACGAACUCGUCUUUCCAG